GGACGAGAGUCUGAUGGAGCAACGCCGCGUGAGCGAAGAAGGUUUUCGGAUCGUAAAGCUCUGUUGCCGGAGAAGAACGGGCGGGAGAGGGAAUGCUCCCGUCGUGACGGUAUCCGGCGAGCAAGUCACGGCUAACUACGUGCCAGCAGCCGCGGUAAUACGUAGGUGGCGAGCGUUGUCCGGAAUUAUUGGGCGUAAAGGGCACGCAGGCGGCUGUUUAAGUCCGGUGUGAAAGGUUGCGGCUUAACCGCAAACGGGCACCGGAAACUGAAGAGCUUGAGGGCAGAAGAGGGGAGCAGAAUUCCACGUGUAGCGGUGAAAUGCGUAGAGAUGUGGAAGAAUACCGGUGGCGAAAGCGGCUCUCUGGUCUGCACCUGACGCUGAGGUGCGAAAGCGUGGGGAGCGAACAGGAUUAGAUACCCUGGUAGUCCACGCCGUAAACGAUGAAUGCUAGGUGUUAGGGGGGUCCAACCCCUUAGUGCUGAAGGCAACCCAUUAAGCAUUCCGCCUGG
rnacentral:rRNA from 1 species